UACAGAGGUCCCAAGCGUUGUUCGGAUUCACUGGGCGUAAAGGGUGCGUAGGCGGUUGGGCAAGUCUGUCGUGAAAUCUCCGAGCCCAACUCGGAAACUGCGUCGGAUACUAUUCAACUCGAGGAAUGGAGGGGAGACUGGAAUUCUCGGUGUAGCAGUGAAAUGCGUAGAUAUCGAGAGGAACACCAGUGGCGAAGGCGAGUCUCUGGACAUUUCCUGACGCUGAGGCACGAAAGCCAGGGGAGCAAACGGG
rnacentral:rRNA from 1 species